CUGAUAUGUGCAUGGUAUAGAAUUUUAAGGGAGAUGGAAAAUUGAAGAACGCCUAAAUAUAAAAUACAAUAAUAAUAAUAAAAAAAUUUCGUAAAAAUUCUAUAAGUAUUGCGAUUCAAAGUAAACAUGUUUUGAUUGGUUUAUAUAUGUACAUAUAUCUCUAAAUAACGAAAUUUAUCAGCUGAUUAGAUCGGUUCGUUUUCAAUUUAGAGUUUCUGUGACUGUCACGUUUUGAAAGCAAAUUUGCCUUUUUCUGGUUUUGACUGUAUCAAAGUACUGAAUUGCCGCAUAACACUGAUUCUGUAUUUCUGAUAACACUGUGUGGUUUAAAUGAGGCUAUUCAAUGACGGCCAGUGAUAAUCAAAAAGAUUGUUUAGCUUGCCGUUUAAUAAGUGGUUUCGGACUAAUUGCCAUGGGGGCAUAUAUUUUUUCACAAUCUAAAAAUCGUAAAAAAAUUGAAAUGAAUACAAUGCGAUUGAUUUCAGGAAGUGUGGUGUCCCUAGGUUUGGCACGACUAUCAAACGCAAGCUUUUUGAAAUCAAGCAAUUCCGAGGUCUAAAUGUCACAAUAGUUUUGAGUGCUAUGGGCUUCGAAUUUCUUUUUUCCAGUAUACAAUCUUUAUUAAUCAAUAUUUAUAUUAAAAAAAUAAAUCUAAUUUAUAAAGUUCCUUAGUUGCGCAUAGCAAAAUGAUGGAUGUACGUAUCUGUGCAUGCAAUUGCUGAACAUAUAUGUACAUACUAAUAAACACUUUUAGUAAUAUUGCCUAACA